AAUUUCUGAUCUAUUAUCUGUUAGUGAAGGAAAUAAUUUACAGAGGUGAGAUAGAUAGAGACGUAUACAUAUAUCUUCCCAGUUGUCACAGUUUAAUAUUUUGCUUUUGGCCUCACUGUACUGCCUAGUUUCUUUGUGUCCCACAGUGCAGACUUCAGACAGAAGAAAGACCCUUUCCAAGUGUGCUAAGGCUGGACUACUGUGGUUAAAAUGGUUUCCCCUGGAUCUCUCUCACAGCUUGCAGUUGUCUGAUUUCAAUCAGUGGCAGUUCUCUCCACAUGUCUAGCCAUCAAUCUUCUCCUGCUCCUGGAUGAGUGUGUCACAGCAUGGUGUAUGUUCCAGUCAAAAAAUAGACUGCACCACAGCUCUCCCUCCUCGGUCAUUGAUAAGUAUCCCUUUGAUAUUUUUAUUAAAAAAGAAAGAAAACACUUAUGAUAUAUGUUUCUGGGGAAAAAAAAAAAAAAAAAAGACAAAAAAAAGAGAAAAAAAAAAAGAGGAGCCUGAAGCACACUGAAGCUCUGGAGGCUGUAGGAACAGCAGGAAGCAGGGAGGGAGUUUGGGGUAAUGUGGUUAUGAUGAAGCUAUUGCUUGGUAAGUUACAGUUUGUGUAAGAGUUGAGGAUUUCAAUCUUUAUUGCUUUCCACCCUGCACUCCUCCAGCAAUAAAAGUUUUCUGGAUGUUGUGUGAGUCUCCAGUAUUCAUCUACUUCAUACCACUUCCUCCCCUCAUGGUGAAUAAUUAUUGCUAUUUGAAAACAGAGCUGCUUAGAGAUGGAGGAGGUUUUGUACAAAAACUAAGCCGAGCGUGUCAUAGUCCCUCGCUCUCACCUUUGGACUCUCUGGAAAAGGAAACAAAUGGCUGUUUCUUUGUUUUCAUUCUUCUUUUAGAUUACAGACUGAUCCGUCAGUCUCCUAGACCAGCUUUCCUCUGCAUGGCUGAGGUACAUGCCCAGGAGCAUGCAGAAGUUUCCUGAUAAAAGAGGACGGAUUGACCUGUCUCCAAAUAGGUGUCCUUAUCCAAAGUAAACCCACCUUCUGAAAAGACUGAAGCUGCAGAGGGUCUGCAUAAUAACUCCGCUUCUGACAAAGCACUUUUCCAUGACAGAGCUCAAAACACUUUCUAAAAGAAGCCCCAGGAUGACAUCUCAUUCCUGUGACAGUCUUGCUCUGAGCUUUACUCACUCACUCUGGGCUGAGUGAUAGUCUCCUCAGCGCUCUCCCAUCCUGAAAGGAAGGAAAUGAAGAAAGAAAAGAAUACCUUCUAUGCUGAACCACCUGCCUGAAGACACAAAGGAGAUGUGUGUCUUAGGAAAACCUGGUGCUUCUACUAUAAACAAAGCAACAUGUGAAGGACUUCAAACACAUUGCAUGGCAAGAGUAACAAAAUCAGAAACUUUAAAAAACACUCAUAAAUAAAAUUAUAUUGCUGGUCCUGAAGGCUCACCCAAAUGUAUCUGGCUUUUGGAUCCCCUCAGCUGAUCGUGGCAAGAACAGGCCACAGUAACAGGUGAAAUUAAAGCUGAAAAAGGUGAUGCUCUUUCGCUUUAGUUUUGAUUGCCUCAAAAUGCAUCUAUGAGAGGACAGUGUUUAGGGAAUGUUCAAACUUGCAUUCAUUGGUCAGGAUUUACCUCAUGACUUUAGACGUGUGGAAGCUGGUUGGCUAAGGCUGUGCCUACACCAGCAUUUUGGUGAUGGGCAGCAGCAUGGUUUUGAAGUGAAUCCUCUGAUCAUCAUCCCUUAGUGCACACUGGUUUUGUUUCCAGAGCAGUUUCAGUGGGCUGAAGCUGGAUUCCUUCAGAGGGAAAUGAGACCAGAAGCUCUCCUUCCAAGACCAAGUGCUUUCCAGCCCCUCCUGGGGACAUAAAAGUGCUAAUCCUGGACUGUCCUUUGGACACCUCUGAACCACAAGUAGGAGCUCAAGCAAGCCCCCUGAACUGCAUGCAGUGCCAGUGUUGGGCCCUGACCACCAAAGUUGCUUUGGUCUCCUGUUCUGUUCCUGUUGCAUCGAGACACUUGCAAAUGCUGAUACAGCCCAGCUCUUGGCUGACCACCUCAAAUGCUCCUUUAUGGGCAGUGGUAGUAAGGAAGUGAAGAUAAAUCAUCUUCCUUAGUUGAGAUAGCUAUCCCAGGAAAAGAUAAAUGGAAAGGGAAACUAGCUUAGAUGUACACAACGAAAUAUGGUAUCCUGAGUGAAGACAGUCAAUCUCCAUCCCACAUGCACAGUUCUAGAUGUACUCAGCAAUAACUGAGCAACCAGCUGCAGACUCGUUGCAUGAAGGAACAAUGAAGAAGGAACAAUGCUGCAGCCUUAUGUGGCAGGAGGGGACAUGACCCUCAGGGGAACCUGUGCUCAGGGUCUCAUCUUGGGACCCCACACACAACUGUGUCACAAGCUUUAGGCAGGACUUGUAGAACAGAAUGUACCUGGGAACAAGAAAGGACUUCCCAGUUUCUAGCAUGGUAAAGGAUCUGCCCAUUAGUGAUGCCUCCUGCAAAUUCAACCCCUGGAAGCCUCAGAGGGAGUGCUGCACUUCUCUCUCCAAGUUCCCUACAGCUCUCUACAUUCUACUCAAAAAAAAACAAACAAAAAAAUCCCUCGAAGAAACAAAGUUUUUUAUCUAAUUAAGAACAUAUAGUACCUAACUGCUUCAAUAUAACUUAUUUUAUAGAAACUAAAUAGAAAUUAUUCUAUAUGAAUAUCAUAAUAACAGACAGAAUAAAAUUUGUCUUUUCUCUUCCCUUUAAAGUUUACUGCUGUGUUUCAAGUUGAGUGAAGUAGUUUUAUAGUUUUAUUUCUCCUAUGACUAGUUGUAUUCUGUUUGAGAACUUUUACAUUAUCCAUUUUCUAUAGCUCCAAGAACUCACUGUAGCAGUUGCCAAAUAUGUAAAUGUUGCAGCAAUUACACUUUCACUGCCCAUGAAAAAUGGCCUCGUAAGGUUUUGAAUGGAUGCAGUUCUUUCGUGCUGAAAGUAUUUUUAAAAAUCCGGGAAAAUAAUUGUUGUUAUCCCUUACUAUAGUAGUGGUUAAUAUACACUCUAAAUAUUAAAGUUUAAUAUUAAAAAGAUAUUAGAUAUUUGAUUGAUUAUUUUAUAAAAAACAUUCAUUUUCUGUUCUCAGAGGAAGACUGAAGCCAACCAGAAAUACAUCAAUGAUUUCGUCAUCUAUCAAAGAUUUAUUAGAUACUGUAUUUCACAAAGAAAACCUUUUUGUCACAUAUGCUUGACUAAUCUAUUAAACAGGCAUGACUUCAAAGGAUACGUAGGUGCAAUAACCCGUUCACACAGAACAAGUGGCAGGACUGGGACAUAACACUUGCAAAUGUAAAGAAAGUGGCAUAAACAUAUGCUACAGAAAGGAGAAAUAUACAUGCAUGGCAAAACGCAAAGUCAACCGAAUUUGUGUUCUGGCUAUGCGUAGCUGCAUACCAGUUCUGGCUAUAAAUUUUUUAAUAGAUAUACUGCUCUGUCAAGAUCAAAAGUUUCUGAGGAAUGUGCUGAUUUUAAAAACAUUUUGUUUCCAAAGUGAAUGACAAGAUACAUGCACUUUUGAGUUUUGCCACAAAAAAUUAUAUUGGAUUUGACACUUUAUAUAUUGGAAUAUAAAGAUUAAUAUCUGAAAUAAAAGGAACUGAAAUCUACAGUUUCCCUGACCUAAAGCCAUUUUUAACAGGUUGGUUUACAGAACAUACUUUUGUUCUCAUUCUGACUUCAGUCAAAAUUAAUUUCAUUAUAUUCAAAUGUUGCAGAAGAUUUUAAUAUUGACAGGUUUAGUCACACAGGCAUUGAAGCAUUUCUAUUUUAAUAAUGUCUUUUCAUCAUCCCCAGGUGAUGUGUGGUGAGCAAGCAAAAUAAGGAAGCAUUGGCCUAGGUGAUAGCAUUUUGUUUCCAACUGCAAUACGCAGCAUACAUGACGAUUAUACUUUCUUCUCUGUCAUGGGAGUUUAUGUGCUAUAAAAUACAAUUUUAAAGUGUACAUGGUACUAUUCUAACUCACAAACAUAAUAUCAGAUAUGACAGAGUGGCCUAAUCAUUAAAUCGUGCAUUGUUCUAGGGAAAAUAUUUACAUGCUUGAAAAUUAAAUUCUUCCUGUUCACAUUGUUGCUUGGUCUCCUGCAUUUUUUAAUACUUUGCUGUUAAAAUACUUUCUAUCAUUUCUUGAACUCCAUUUAAUCUAGGGUCCUGAGCACUGAGAAUUGCAUGAUCCUUUCACCUUUGCACUCAGGGUGAAAAGCAGAAAAGUGAAUUACUCUUGCAGUAACAUGAAGCGUGUUGGUGUGGCCAACACAAUGUGUUGUUUGCCCAUGCAAAAGGAGGAUCAUGGUGAGGACAGUGAGAUUUAGUAGCUUCGGCUAACAGCACAGCUUUCAUGAACCUUGACAUUACCCUUUCUGGCCUGAGGCGAAACAAUUUCAAAAUAGAUGAAAUUAAUUAAAACACUAGGGCUCCAAAAUCCAUAUUGAUUUCCUGUUCAAUAACAUAGUCUGCAUAAGUGAUCAAUAUUUGCACUUCUUCAUUUUUGAAAGUGUUUCUUUUUAGAUACUGU